UGUUGCUCUGGGGGCGUCCCUUCAAAUAGUGCAGAGGAGUGUCAAGGUUAUACAGAGCUGUGAUAUGCAGGUUAAUAUAAAGUGCUCUUUGCGGAGACAGUGGUUAGCCCUUAAGUAACCACCAGAAGUCGCAGUCUGGAUCCAGUUAGUGAAAUUUCCACAAGUGAAGCAGCCAGUGAUAGUAGUAGCUCCAAUGGUAGCAACAAAGGCCAGCUCACCUCGCUGCCACGUAUCCCUGGGGCAUACAACGCUGACGUCAGCAGGGCUUCCGACGCCAUCGAUGGCAGGAGUUACCAGCGGGAGCUUCUCUCAGGGUCUCUUCAGAUUUAUGCAAAAAAUUCCAUUUUAUUGCUCCUCUGUUGUCAUGGUUUCUGCCAUCUGAAGUGUCAUCUGUGAUCUCAUUACUUCAUACAUUUUGAAAAUCUCUGAACCAGAAGUUGAACUUAGCAAGGAUUCUGAGGAGAGGCAAAGAGGUCAACGUCUCCAGUGCUGACAAAUAUGGUUCCUUAUUAUAGAGGAAAAAAUUGUAUACAACUUCUUUUCAAAAGGAUCAAAGUCAACACAUACACAUAACAGUUAUGCCCAAGGGAAUAAGAAAUC